rnacentral:lncRNA from 1 species
UCGAAUCAGAUGAAGUUUGAUAAAGCUAAAAAAAUGUAGAGUCUUGGUUUAGAAAAAAGGAUUAAAGGAAAUGUGGAAGACGUGUUUCUAAAAUUUAUUUAAUGAAGGGUAUGAUAUCUCACCGAAAUCUAACAAACUCGACAUUAAAGAAAAGGAUCAAAACUAUUACUACUACCAUCAGAUUCGAAAACAAGAAGUAAAUAAAGUGUUGAAAAGGAUGAGUAACAAUA